rnacentral:rRNA from 1 species
GAUGAAGAACGCAGGCUAUUGCGAUAAGUAAUGUGAAAAGCAGAAUUCAGUGAAUCAUCGAAUCUUUGAACGCACGUUGCGCUCCUUGGUAUUCCGAGGAGCAUGCCUGUUUGAGUGUCAUUACAUUCUCAACCAUUGGAUUUGUUUUCGAUGGGUUGG